UACACGCUGUGACUAGCAUAUCAAUAAGCGGAGGAAAAGAAACUAACAAGGAUUCCCCUAGUAACGGCGAGUGAAGCGGGAAGAGCUCAAAUUUGAAAUCUUAAAGGGUUUCCCUUUACGAAUUGUAGUUUAAAGAGGUGUUUUCUGUUGAGGUUUUGGUAAAAGUUCUUUGGAAUAGGACAUCAUAGAGGGUGAGAAUCCCGUAUUUGACCUUUACUUUCAACUUUGUGAUACACUUUCAAAGAGUCGGAUUGUUUGGGAAUGCAGUCCAAAAUGGGUGGUAAAUUUCAUCUAAAGCUAAAUAUUGGCGAGAGACCGAUAGCGAACAAGUACCGUGAGGGAAAGAUGAAAAGAACUUUGAAAAGAGAGUUAAACAGUACGUGAAAUUGUCAAAAGGGAAGCGUUUGACACCAGUGUUGUUUUUCUGAAAAUCAAUUAAAGAACUGUUUAUGCUAAGCUGUUUAGACUUUAUCAGCUAUCUGUUUAGUUUUGAGCUUUUCUUUAAUGCACUUUUCAGUUAACGAGUCAACAUCAAUUUCUUUCGCUGUAAAAAAGCUUGAGGAAGGUGGCUUGAGAUUCGUCUUAAGUGUUUAUAGCCUCUUGCCUAUGCAGUCGGAAAGAUUGAGGUCUGCAGCGUAGAUCCUUCGGGGCUAAAUGCAUUUGUGCUAAGUUAUAGCAUUUUAUAGACAACUUGUUGACUAUGAUUUGUCUUGUAGCUUACUCGCUUAUGUUAUUUUACCUACGCUUAGGAUGUUGAUAUGCAUGACUGAUAU
rnacentral:rRNA from 1 species